rnacentral:lncRNA from 1 species
CUAGCACUGAAAACAUAAGCUACAGCUAGCUAGCACUGCAGUGCAUAAAAUGUGAUGAGUAGUUGACUCAAAGAGAGAGAAAGACAAUAAUUGUAUUCUUCCAAAAUGAAGGAGAAGUAUGAGAGAGAGAGAUUGCAAUAUAUAUUUUUUGGGGGGGGAUGGGGGGUUCACUUUCACAUAGCUACUUAGCUAGCAAAAGGCAAAAGCAGCUAGCUAGCUAGUUUAACCUACUCAAACACCCGGCUCAAACAGAGGGAUGCUAUGUUAGCUAGCUGGUUAUGACUAUCCAACACAACACUGGAACUCUUCCAAGUCAAGAUUCAACUAGUCUGUUACGGCAGAGGCAGAGACGACGUUGGAGGGAUAUGGGUCAAACUUAGCUGAAAUGGUUUCGUGCCCCACGUCCGGUGCCAAGUUUUCAUACAUACAGCUGAGGACUUUGUAUCUUAGGCUUUGGAGUUUAACAGCUCUCCCUCGCUCUGUGUUGACAGGAAGUUUAACUCAGGCUGAGCUGAUGGAUGGUCUCUAUUUAGGCUGUGAGGAGGUCAAGCCCACAGAGGAAGCAAUCAGCCAGGACUCAGACCAGGAGGAACCUCCACAGCUGCACUGGAAGUAAUAAACUGACCAGGGUGGGCCCCUGUUGGGAGAAUCCGUUUUUGCAGAGUCAAAGGGUUUGGUCAGAUUGGCCGUCCAAUGACCCCAUGGUGAACUUUAUGAGUAGGAACCUUGAAGCCGAGGAGCUGGGUAGUUGAAUUUUGGAGGAGGCUGAGCUGACUGGCAGUUAGCUUGAAACCCUCAUCAGGGAAUGAAUAGUCUGAAACCUGCCUAUGGUAGAUAUCUAGCUGUACUGCUCGAGAAACGUAUAAGCAGAUAUUUUUGUGUUUUUUUAAGCCUGGCUCUAAGACUCUCUGAGCUAAAUAAAUAGGAGAAUGAUUUGAAUCUGGCUUCCCUCUCAAUUCCACUUCAAACUUUAGUCUUAGUCACCAUGAGCCCCUAUACCCAUGAGAGUUGUAUAUGUAUGAAUUAUUUACAGCUUCAUGGCGGAGCGCUGCUGCUCCGUGCACAGAGUGAAAG